rnacentral:misc_RNA from 1 species
AGCCUUCUGAAACUCAAUUAUACUAUGAAGAUAAGAAGAAUUACAGGGAGUUUUCUGAGACUCCUAAGAAGUCCAAGAGAAAGAAGCGUGAGGAAGUAGAAAGGUUAAAGCAGCUUCAUACACUAAAGGGUCAUGUUGAAUCAGUGGCGGAACUCAGGGAACUUGACAUCGACUCCGAUGAACACUACUACUCUAUUUGAGAAGCUGCAAUUAGGACAUGACGCUGGUUGUGGUGAAGGUCUCUUGCUUGGCAGAAGGAAUGGGAUUGAGGAAGGCCGCAAGACUCAAAUACUUAGGGAUUGAAAACUUUGUGUGUUGUACAUAAAACCUGAGUUAGCUGUAG